UUAUGGCUCAGAUUGAACGCUGGCGGCGUGCUUAACACAUGCAAGUCGAACGCGAAAGGGGCUUCGGCCCUGAGUAAAGUGGCGCACGGGUGAGUAACACGUGGAUAAUCUGCCCUUAUGAUCGGGAUAACAGUCGGAAACGGCUGCUAAUACCGGAUACGCUCAAAAUGAACUUUUUUGAGGAAAGGUGACCUCUGCUUGCAAGUUACCGUAUAAGGAUGAGUCCGCGUCCCAUUAGCUUGUUGGUGGGGUAACGGCCUACCAAGGCAACGAUGGGUAGCCGAUUUGAGAGGAUGAUCGGCCACACUGGGACUGAAACACGGCCCAGACUCCUACGGGAGGCAGCAGUGGGGAAUAUUGCGCAAUGGGCGAAAGCCUGACGCAGCGACGCCGCGUGAAGGGAUGAAGGUUUUCGGAUCGUAAACCUCUGUCAGAAGGGAAGAAACCGCACCGUGCUAAUCAGCGGUGCCUCGACGGUACCUUCAAAGGAAGCACCGGCUAACUCCGUGCCAGCCGCGGC
rnacentral:rRNA from 1 species